UUAGGUUUACAUUUCCUAUAUGAGCAUUAGAAUCCAUGUCUAGGACCAACACAUUCAAAUCAUGUCAUGCAUUAGAUAUCAUGUUUUAGGUUUACUGCUUCAGCAUCUCAUUGACCUUAUUUAUCACUUACAAAUCCUGCUUCUAGGUUAAAUAACAGCAUUAUCAAAACUGUUGCUCCUAUGCAUCUAGAAAUCAUGCUUAACAAUGCUGUAACUCUCUGCGCAUUUAGAAAUCAUGCUUCAGGAAUUUUUCUGCAUUUGAUAUGUGCAUAUUAGACCCUAUUUUAAGAUCUCGUUCAUACUAGCUCAGUCACACCUAGUUAAACUACUGACAAAUAAAAAAAGGACAUAUGAUGGAAUCACCUCUGGUUCUACUGUUUUAAAAUAGACUGGUAAUAACUCCCUAUAUUCUCAGAUUUACAACACUUAGAACAACAUUCUUUAAGUAUAAUAACUUUUAAACUGUUUUAAUAACUCUGGUAAAUCUUGUGCAUGAUCCCACGCCUAGGCAAGCCCUAGGUAAUCAUAUUCUUAUAAAACUGAAAAUUGCCUCUUUAUAUGUUUACUGUUUAAUGGUUAACAGGCAUAAAAUAAGUAGGAAAACUGAUAGGUCCACUAGUUUUGAGUUUAUAAACAUAACUGCCUAUCUUCUAUGUUUUGAUAUUCACUCAGACAUCAUGCCUAGGGAUCCUUUUUAAUAAUACUGCCCUUAUUUAUGUUUGAAUCAUGCUAAUUAUGUGCAUUAUUUGUGGAGGUUAAAUGCUAGAUCAAAUUUUAAUGAUGAAAUUAAUAUACAUGUGCAUGCAUUCAAAAAAAGGGAAUCAGAAUUAUUGGAACUGAUGUAGCAAACAAGGGAAGAGCUAAAAGAGAGGCUACCAUUGUGUUCAAACAAGGAAGCAAAAUUAUUGUAGCAAAGAAGUAUGGUAAUCUUCCUUACAGGUAGAUGUCGAUGCUCAAGGAAAAUAUCAUUAUCUCAUCAGCAAAUCAGAAAGUCUUUCAUAAUUGU
rnacentral:lncRNA from 1 species